AAGGCACUUCUUGGGAACAGGAGGUCAUCUUGUCUCAGAAACCAGACUAGGGACUGACAGAGGCCUUGACGGAUGAGCCAGCCCGCGGAGCAGCCCAGCCUCCUGCCUCCUUGUUCCCGUGAGGGCUAUCCUGCCGAAAAGCUGAGACGUCUGGGAGGCAGGCAAGAUCUUAGUUUUUUGAGUCUGGGAGUGCAAACAUCCUCCGAGCUCACUUUUCUGCCAGGGCUCAAGUUCCCCUCGGGGACACAAGUGACUUCGUGAGCGGUUCAAGCCUUGGGCUAAGGCUUUAUUGGUGCUGUGCGUACCCCCAGGCCUCGGCUCUACCCCCUUUCCCUCUCUCUCUCUUUCUGACGACCUGCGGAAUAGGGAACUCCUGCCAUUCGACUGCUCUACAUGUAACACUUCACUCAAGCCGGCCCCUAGAUUAAGAACCCACCUCCUUAAAAUUCACCCGGCGACAACCUCUGUCAACCAUCCAAGAAGGCACUGAAUGACCUGGACUCUCCUCAACCUACAACUGUUCCUGACCCAACUACUACAAGACCCCUGGACCAGCGCCCCGACAGGAACCUCCUCCAAGACCUGACUACAUUGGUGUCUCAGCUGUGGCUCCAGGGAGCCUCCUGCCACCUGACUCCAGACGAAACUGAGCUCUUUACUCUCACUCUCUACACCAUUCUACAUCCUAAUAAGCAGUGUUCCUCCUCAGACUCAAACCACCACCAACCUGGGGCCUUUCCCCUCGCCCUGACUGGCCUCUCCCUGUCUCUCUAACUAUAACAGCGCUCUUAAGCUUAAUCCUUGCUGUAGGCCUAGUAACUGUCUCCUCUCAGGACCGGCCACCUAGCCUUCGUCUUUCCGUGGGUAUCGCCUACGUUGCUAGCUGUGUUCUACUCCUAGGGUGCUGUUUCCUCCGCACUGCCUAACUAACAGCCCAUGACUCCUCUGCUCCUCAUCCUUGCUGCACUCCCCAGCCUUCUGGCUACUCCCUGCCCCUGCUCUGACAUUUAUUCCUAUGUACAUUCCUCAUGUUAUAAUACACCUCCAAAACCAUGCACCAUGAACCUCGGGGGUGGGAAGUCCAAAUUCUUACUCACUGUUCAAGUACAACAGAGAGGGAAUUUUGUGAAUACCUGCCAUAAGCCAAAUGGAAGAAACAUAUGUUUCUAUCCUAUUACCCACUGGGGAUACUCAGACGGGGGUGGGGUACUAGAUGAAAAUCGGGAAAAGAAACAAGAACAAGUCAUCAAGAACAUAAUUUCCCAGUUACAGGCGACACCUGAGCCUUAUAAACACCUAGACAUCCUUUCCCAGUUACGGCCUGUCCUAAAACCUCCCUCUGGCAACCAGCACCUUACCCGCCUUCUCAACUCUUCCUUCCAAUUCUUCCAGUACACAGAACACACAUCCCAGUCUUAGUUAUGCAUGUCACUGUCUCCCUCACCGUCACAACAAUUCCUUUACCUUCAAGCUGGCUGUUACAGGGCAACUACCCCUCCCCUUCCCAGCAAAAAACUGCACAACUCAUUGGGCCAGUCUCUGACAAUGUCCUACUCUCAGCCUCUUCAGACCUAACCUGUAUCAACUAGUCUAGUCCCAACUACACUGGUCUUACAAACUCCACUCCCUCCUUCUGUUCCACUUGGGUUCUCUGGAACAGCACAAAUAAUUGCACCAAUCGGGGAAUCUUCAUUCUCUGCGGGACCUGUACAUAUUCGUGUCUCCCGUUGGACCCCCCUGGACCUUGCAUCUUGGUCUUCCUGACCCCGGGCCUAACAUUCCUCAAAGAAGAAGAGGUAGAACAAGAGUCUCCCCCAAGGGGAACUUUCCCACAGGAAAAGACAGCUGUCACAGCCCCCUCCUGAUUGGGCCUGGCAGAGCAGCAGCCCCAGGCACCGGGAUUGGAGGCAGCUCGACCUCUGCCCAGUUCUACUACAAGCUGUCCCAAGAACUUAACGAAGACAUGGAGCAGGGGGUGGGGUCCUUCGUUUCAAUCCGAAGACAAAUUAACUCAUUAGCUUCUGUGGCUCUUCAAAAUAGGCGAGCCCUGGACCUUCUAACCGCAGAAAACGGAGGGACCUGCCUUUUCCUAGGAGAAGGGUGGUGCUAUUUUGUUAAUGAAACGGGCGUAGUCCAGGGCAGAGUCAAAGAACUUACAGACAGAAUUGAACGCCGCACAAAAGAGUUACAAAACCUUUACAGUCCCCAAAAGCAGUUCCCUUGGUUGCUCCUUCCUGGGACCACUGGUACUUAUCAUUCUAUUCCUCUUAUUUGGACCCUGUUUCUUCACUCUCUUUCAAAGGUUUCUCCAAGAACAGAUUCGGGCCAUCUUUAGAGAUCAGGUCAAGACCAUUCUUCUUCUCGAGAGCCUCACCCCAAGCUCAGAAAAAGGAGACCCUGGGCCCUAGGACGAUCCUCCAUUCCAGAGCCAAAGUCGUUGCCCCUAUCCAGCAAGAAGUAGCCAGAGAGAUCCGGCACCCUUUUUCCCAUUUCUUAAAAUGAUUUCAGGUCUGGAAUGAAGGAGUCUUUUGGGCCUAGAAAAGAAAACAAGAGUCUCAAAGGCCCUUGCUGAAUCAUCUAACUUCGGAGAAAACAAAACAGAACUUUAGGUCCCGCCCUGAUGCUCCAGGCCGGUUAUAUCUAUCUGGGACUUAUCACCCCCUGUCCAGAAACCUUCCACCCCCUGCACCUGCCCAGAAGACUUAUAACCCCCUGCCCAACUACAAAUGCCAUCUCAACUAAAGAAUACCCAAAACAUUCUGCCUGAUUAAUGUUUCCCUUAUCACCUGCACAAACCUCCCUAUAAAUAUGGAGCCUCCCUGAUCCCUCUCCGAGCUCAGCCUGGUCGUUAGGCCGACUGUCACCCUUCUUUGCCUGAAUAAAGGAAACCUACUUCUGUUGA